UGCAAGCCGUAUUUAGAUUGCAUUGCAGAAAACGUCAUAAAUGGCAAGUGCCAAAUUACAGUACAGAAAUCAUUAGCAAAAUUCAAUAUAAAAAAUCAUUUUAUAAAAAUGUUUUCAAACGAGUUCCGUCCUUUUUUCAUUCAGAUAAGGAAAGAAGAAGAUAAAGGUGACAAGCAUGCCAGUAUCAAUAUGGAAGUAAAACGUAUACCUAUAAAAGACCCUCACAAUCCAUUUACGAAGAAAACCAUUUUUACGCAAACUUACCCUGCGACGUUAGAGCCCGCGGUACCGCGGACUUCUUGUUGCGCCUAUUGUGAAUAGAUACCCUUUUUCGUUGGACAUGCAAAAUAAACCAGAUAAUCUGAAGGAAACGAAAACUCGACCUCUCAUGAAUCUCCUCUGCGUCCUGUGGGCCAGAAGCAUUGGUAACGUGUUAGGUUCUUCAAUGAGAUUGAUAUCCUGCCACUGCAUGUCUACAAAUGUAUACCUUUUUAUUUUACAAUCAUAUUCACACUUGUCGGAUUAUAUUGUACUAGAACUGUCCGAUUUGGAGGAAGUUGAAGAAUUCAAAACGAACCGUGGCCCGUCGCGAUAGUAAAGAGUAUUUUCAUUAAGACAACCGAUUACGAGUGCCUAUUGAAUUUUGUAGAUCUAUUUUAUUUUAUGUCCUUUAUUGGCCAUCUGAAAUGAAGUGAAAGCCUCGGCAAAGAUUAUAAAAAACUGUCGAGAUGAUUUGACAACUUUGAGAACUGGGUCACAAUGUGAUCACGAUACUACUGAUCACAGAGCACGCAGUGGGCGAUCUCGAGCAGAUCCCUUUUGAUGGUGCUAUUAGCACGCACAACCCAAUGAGCGCCCUGGAGUGCAAUUUGCACAGAACAUUCCUAAAUAGUUCAUCAACACAGCAGGGCCAGCCAGUCGCAAUCUUCGGAAAACCGGGGUCAGUGUGCACAGGCUCUUUUCGAUCGCAAGUUGCAUGAAGAUUUUACAUUUACGGUGUCGGUAAAUACUUUGUAC